rnacentral:rRNA from 1 species
GACAGAGGGUGCAAACGUUGUUCGGAAUUACUGGGCGUAAAGCGUGUGUAGGCGGCUUUGCAAGUCGGAUGUGAAAGCCCCGGGCUCAACCCGGGAAGUGCACUCGAUACUGCAGAGCUUGAGUGUCGGAGAGGUUGGUGGAAUUCUCGGUGUAGAGGUGAAAUUCGUAGAUAUCGAGAGGAACACCGGCGGCGAAGGCGGCCCACUGGAUCGGUACUGACGCUGAGGUGCGAAAGCGUGGGGAGCAAACAGG